rnacentral:rRNA from 1 species
UACGGAGGGGGCUAGCGUUGUUCGGAAUUACUGGGCGUAAAGCGCGCGUAGGCGGAUCUGCAAGUCGGGGGUGAAAUCCCGAGGCUCAACCUCGGAACUGCCUUCGAUACUGCGGGUCUCGAGUCCGGGAGAGGUGAGUGGAAUUCCUAGUGUAGAGGUGAAAUUCGUAGAUAUUAGGAAGAACACCAGUGGCGAAGGCGGCUCACUGGCCCGGUACUGGACGCUGAGGCGCGAAAGCGUGGGGAGCAAACAGG